rnacentral:rRNA from 1 species
CAUAGGUUAAUGAGGCGAACCGGGGGAACUGAAACAUCUAAGUACCCCGAGGAAAAGAAAUCAACCGAGAUUCCCCCAGUAGCGGCGAGCGAACGGGGAGCAGCCCAGAGCCUGAAUCAGUGUGUGUGUUAGUGGAAGCGUCUGGAAAGGCGCGCGAUACAGGGUGACAGCCCCGUACACAAAAAUGCACAUGCUGUGAGCUCGAUGAGUAGGGCGGGACACGUGGUAUCCUGUCUGAAUAUGGGGGGACCAUCCUCCAAGGCUAAAUACUCCUGACUGACCGAUAGUGAACCAGUACCGUGAGGGAAAGGCGAAAAGAACCCCGGCGAGGGGAGUGAAAAAGAACCUGAAACCGUGUACGUACAAGCAGUGGGAGCCUCUUUAUGGGGUGACUGCGUACCUUUUGUAUAAUGGGUCAGCGACUUAUAUUCUGUAGCAAGGUUAACCGAAUAGGGGAGCCGAAGGGAAACCGAGUCUUAACUGGGCGUUAAGUUGCAGGGUAUAGACCCGAAACCCGGUGAUCUAGCCAUGGGCAGGUUGAAGGUUGGGUAACACUAACUGGAGGACCGAACCGACUAAUGUUGAAAAAUUAGCGGAUGACUUGUGGCUGGGGGUGAAAGGCCAAUCAAACCGGGAGAUAGCUGGUUCUCCCCGAAAGCUAUUUAGGUAGCGCCUCGUGAAUUCAUCUCCGGGGGUAGAGCACUGUUUCGGCAAGGGGGUCAUCCCGACUUACCAACCCGAUGCAAACUGCGAAUACCGGAGAAUGUUAUCACGGGAGACACACGGCGGGUGCUAACGUCCGUCGUGAAGAGGGAAACAACCCAGACCGCCAGCUAAGGUCCCAAAGUCAUGGUUAAGUGGGAAACGAUGUGGGAAGGCCCAGACAGCCAGGAUGUUGGCUUAGAAGCAGCCAUCAUUUAAAGAAAGCGUAAUAGCUCACUGGUCGAGUCGGCCUGCGCGGAAGAUGUAACGGGGCUAAACCAUGCACCGAAGCUGCGGCAGCGACGCUUAUGCGUUGUUGGGUAGGGGAGCGUUCUGUAAGCCUGUGAAGGUGUGCUGUGAGGCAUGCUGGAGGUAUCAGAAGUGCGAAUGCUGACAUAAGUAACGAUAAAGCGGGUGAAAAGCCCGCUCGCCGGAAGACCAAGGGUUCCUGUCCAACGUUAAUCGGGGCAGGGUGAGUCGACCCCUAAGGCGAGGCCGAAAGGCGUAGUCGAUGGGAAACAGGUUAAUAUUCCUGUACUUGGUGUUACUGCGAAGGGGGGACGGAGAAGGCUAUGUUGGCCGGGCGACGGUUGUCCCGGUUUAAGCGUGUAGGCUGGUUUUCCAGGCAAAUCCGGAAAAUCAAGGCUGAGGCGUGAUGACGAGGCACUACGGUGCUGAAGCAACAAAUGCCCUGCUUCCAGGAAAAGCCUCUAAGCAUCAGGUAACAUCAAAUCGUACCCCAAACCGACACAGGUGGUCAGGUAGAGAAUACCAAGGCGCUUGAGAGAACUCGGGUGAAGGAACUAGGCAAAAUGGUGCCGUAACUUCGGGAGAAGGCACGCUGAUAUGUAGGUGAGGUCCCUCGCGGAUGGAGCUGAAAUCAGUCGAAGAUACCAGCUGGCUGCAACUGUUUAUUAAAAACACAGCACUGUGCAAACACGAAAGUGGACGUAUACGGUGUGACGCCUGCCCGGUGCCGGAAGGUUAAUUGAUGGGGUUAGCGGUAACGCGAAGCUCUUGAUCGAAGCCCCGGUAAACGGCGGCCGUAACUAUAACGGUCCUAAGGUAGCGAAAUUCCUUGUCGGGUAAGUUCCGACCUGCACGAAUGGCGUAAUGAUGGCCAGGCUGUCUCCACCCGAGACUCAGUGAAAUUGAACUCGCUGUGAAGAUGCAGUGUACCCGCGGCAAGACGGAAAGACCCCGUGAACCUUUACUAUAGCUUGACACUGAACAUUGAGCCUUGAUGUGUAGGAUAGGUGGGAGGCUUUGAAGUGUGGACGCCAGUCUGCAUGGAGCCGACCUUGAAAUACCACCCUUUAAUGUUUGAUGUUCUAACGUUGACCCGUAAUCCGGGUUGCGGACAGUGUCUGGUGGGUAGUUUGACUGGGGCGGUCUCCUCCUAAAGAGUAACGGAGGAGCACGAAGGUUGGCUAAUCCUGGUCGGACAUCAGGAGGUUAGUGCAAUGGCAUAAGCCAGCUUGACUGCGAGCGUGACGGCGCGAGCAGGUGCGAAAGCAGGUCAUAGUGAUCCGGUGGUUCUGAAUGGAAGGGCCAUCGCUCAACGGAUAAAAGGUACUCCGGGGAUAACAGGCUGAUACCGCCCAAGAGUUCAUAUCGACGGCGGUGUUUGGCACCUCGAUGUCGGCUCAUCACAUCCUGGGGCUGAAGUAGGUCCCAAGGGUAUGGCUGUUCGCCAUUUAAAGUGGUACGCGAGCUGGGUUUAGAACGUCGUGAGACAGUUCGGUCCCUAUCUGCCGUGGGCGCUGGAGAACUGAGGGGGGCUGCUCCUAGUACGAGAGGACCGGAGUGGACGCAUCACUGGUGUUCGGGUUGUCAUGCCAAUGGCACUGCCCGGUAGCUAAAUGCGGAAGAGAUAAGUGCUGAAAGCAUCUAAGCACGAAACUUGCCCCGAGAUGAGUUCUCCCUGACUCCUUGAGAGUCCUGAAGGAACGUUGAAGACGACGACGUUGAUAGGCCGGGUGUGUAAGCGCAGCGAUGCGUUGAGCUAACCGGUACUAAUGAACCGUGAGGCUUAACCUUACAACGCCGAAG